AUCUUUGUGCAGGGGCAAGUACUGUCGCCAGUGAAGUUUUACUGAGGCACAGUUUUUUGCUAAUUGCAAAUAACACAUCCUACUCGUCUGUUUCCAUUGGUCUCAGCAAUUUUUGGUUUUCAUUCAGUUUUACUGUUCUAUUUUGCUCAUUUCUGCAUUCGCUCGUUCAUUAACGGGAGUUAUGA
rnacentral:snRNA from 1 species